rnacentral:rRNA from 1 species
UACGUCGGGGGCCCGCUUUUUCCUUAAUCAUUGGGCGUAAAGAGCGUGUAGGCGGCCAGAUAAGUCCGCUGUGAAAUCUCGAGGCUCAACUUCGAGCUGUCGGUGGAAACUGUCUGGCUAGAGUCCGGAAGAGGAGAAUGGAAUUCCUGGUGUAGCGGUGAAAUGCGCAGAUAUCAGGAAGAACACCCGUGGCGAAGGCGGUUCUCUGGGACGGUACUGACGCUGAGACGCGAAAGCGUGGGGAGCGAACAGG